rfam:Triticum aestivum genome assembly, contig: Triticum_aestivum_CS42_TGACv1_scaffold_434247_5DL
CAAAUACUCCCUCCGUCGGGAAAUACUUGUCAUCAAAAUGGAUAAAAGGAAAUGUAUCUAGAUGUAUUUUAGUUUUAGGUACAUCUCUUUUUAUCCAUUUUGAUGACAAGUAUUUUCGGACGGAGGGAGUAGAAA